GUGGGGAAUCUUCCGCAAUGGACGAAAGUCUGACGGAGCAACGCCGCGUGAACGAUGACGGCCUUCGGGUUGUAAAGUUCUGUUAUACGGGACGAAUGGUACGACGGCCAAUACCCGUCGUAAGUGACGGUACCGUAAGAGAAAGCCACGGCUAACUACGUGCCAGCAGCCACGGUAAUACGUAGGUGGCAAGCGUUGUCCGGAAUUAUUGGGCGUAAAGGGCGCGCAGGCGGCGUCGUAAGUCGGUCUUAAAAGUGCGGGGCUUAACCCCGUGAGGGGACCGAAACUGCGAUGCUAGAGUAUCGGAGAGGAAAGCGGAAUUCCUAGUGUAGCGGUGAAAUGCGUAGAUAUUAGGAGGAACACCAGUGGCGAAAGCGGCUUUCUGGACGACAACUGACGCUGAGGCGCGAAAGCCAGGGGAGCAAACGGGAUUAGAAACCCGGGUAGUCC
rnacentral:rRNA from 1 species